UAUAUAUAUGUGUGUGUAUGUAUAUGUAUGUAUAUAUAAAUUUCUCUAUCUAUCUGUUUUCUCUCCUAAUUUAUUUUUUUGUAUUUUGUUUUUUUUUUGUUUUUUUUUUUUGUUUCCAAUGGUUUCCUGGUGGAGAAAGGGUCAGUACCUAUGACCUUUUGCCUAACCUCUAAGACCAGGGGUGUGUGGGGAGGGGAGGGCAGGAGAAAGUGGAUGACGAAGCCAUGCCGCUCGGAUUUUCCUCAGACGGGAGACAAACCCCGAAACCAAGAACAGACACUAGUUAACAAAAAAAAAAAAAAAACCCCGGAGCGAGGGUUCCAGCUUAUAUAUCAGUGGUGGUGGUCCUGGUGGUGAUGUUGAAACCCUCACCCCCCCCACCACCGCCACCCACCCUCUCACUAUUGCUUUGAUAUUCACCUCUGAAGAGAACCUUGCAAAACAGACUGAUCGCCAAGACAUUUUGCUCAAUAUGGGAUUGCCUAUUGCCUUUUCUAUCCGUAUACGUUGCUAUCUCUGUACCGUCACAUGUAUAACCUGUACAUGUUGCUAUUUAAACACUAUCGUCUGUCUGUAAGUCGUACAUGUUGCUAUCUACACAUUGUUGUUUGUGCAUAAUCAGUAUUUUGUUGCUAUCUACACACUCCGAUGUGUUUAUAAUUUACGUUUAUUUCUAUCUACACACUGCUGUCAUUUGUGUGGAGGUUAUAUAUAUAUAUAUAUAUAUAUAUAUAUAUAUACAUUGCUAUCUACACACAGCUGUCAUUUGUGUGGAGGUUAUAUAUAUAUAUAUAUAUAUAUAUAUAUAUAUAUAUAUACACUGCUAUCUACACACUGCUGUCAUUUGUGUGGAGGUUAUAUAUAUAUAUACACUGCUAUCUACACACAGCUGUCAUUUGUAUGGAGGUUAUAUAUAUAUAUAUAUAUAUAUACACUGCUAUCUACACACAGCUGUCAUUUGUGUGGAGGUUAUAUAUAUAUAUAUAUAUAUAUAUAUAUAUAUAUACACUGCUAUCUACACACAGCUGUCAUUUGUGUAGAGGUUAUAUAUAUAUAUAUAUAUACACUGCUAUCUACACACAGCUGUCUGCGUAAAAUCCAUGUUUGUUGCUAUUUAUCUACUGUCAUUUGUGUGCAGGUUAUAUAUAUAUAUAUAUAUAUAUAUAUAUAUAUACACUGCUAUCUACAACAAUGUGUAAAGGUUUAUAUUUAUUUAUGUUUGUGUGUUUGUUUUUGAUUUUAUUUAUUUUGUGGAGGUUAUAUAUAUAUAUAUAUAUUUACACUGCUAUCUACACACUGCUGUCAUUUGUGUGGAUGUUAUAUAUAUAUAUAUAUAUAUAUAUAUAUAUAUAUAUAUAUAUAUAUAUAUACACUGCUAUCUACACACAGCUGUCAUUUGUGUGGAGGUUAUAUAUAUAUAUAUAUAUAUACACUGCUAUCUACACACAGCUGUCUGCGUAAAAUCCAUGUUUGUUGCUAUUUAUCUACUGUCAUUUGUGUAUAAGAUUUUUCUUUUUUUUUAUUGUUGCUAACU
rnacentral:lncRNA from 1 species